GCCGGGAUGGUGGAAUAGGUAGACACGCAAGACUUAAAAUCUUGUGGCCUUUAGGCCGUGCGGGUUCGAUUCCCGCUCCUGGUA
rnacentral:tRNA from 6 species